UGUCGGAUAGUGUAAUGGUAGCACCAUGGAUUCUGAUUCCAUUUGUGAGGGUUCGAGCCCUUCUCCGACAG
rnacentral:tRNA from 5 species